rnacentral:lncRNA from 9 species
AAGCAAGCAAAUAAAUAAAUACAUAAAAUACAGUAGAAUAAAAUUCCUAUAGAGUUGUGGCAGAAGAAACUGGAUUAAAAUGUACAGCCUGAAAUUCCUAUCCCCUUGAUUAUACUUUAGCCUAACCAGUAUUUUUUUCCUCUUUUCUAAUGGCCUAAAUCAUAGUUAUAAAUGCCAAUGAUCCUAUAGAAGCAACCAAAAAUGGAAAGAUGAAGUUUUUUAUUAACCUGGUAUCAUAAUAUUGGCUGUGCUGUUUAUUCCACAGAUUUGGAUACCAUAUGAUAGAUUCUACCUCCUCAGAAAACUUAUUUCGGGAAAGGAAAAACAAUCCACCAACUAUCAGUAGAUGAUAUUGCUAAUUCUUGACAUUGUCCGUGACAGCAUUCAUCCACCUAUUCAUUCUUUCAGCAGAAAGCAAUAUGGGAAUAGAAGAGGAAGAAAUCAUGAUAGUACCCAUCUUUCACAAAGAGCAGAAUUUCAAGCCAUUAGACAUUUUACGAACAGUACCAUGCUUAUAGCCAGAAAGCCUUACAGAGCCAUCUCGAGUUUAUCAAGUAUACCUGCAGCAAAGGAAGCAAAAAAACCUGAUGCUUUCAAUGACAAGCAGACACCAUGA